UACACACGUGCGUACGUGAGUCCCUAUUGAUUAACUGUUAUGUCCUUCAAGCAUGAAUUAAUUAACAUCUUUUGGUUAUUAUAUGCCACCCCGGAAUAUUCAAUAUAAGCUCAGCUUCUACAAUUGAUUCGUCAGUAAUUAAAUCCGAGUUUGCCUACAGUGGAUUUGGCAGGGACCAGGCCUUCCGCGAUGAGACUAUGGUUGAGAUUAAACAAAAUUAUCUCUAAGUAAAGCAUGAAAGUGCCUGGAAUAUAAAAGGCAAAGUAGAAUAAAAAGUAGCUGCUCUCCUGCUGAUGGUGAUUUCUAUGGCGAUGGUGACAAGGACGUUGACUCUCUACUUGGGAUUCAAGAAGCCUGGUCACAUCUGGAAAGGUUGACAAUCUAGGAAGGGAAGAGGAGUUCAUGCUUCAUGUGGUACACCUCCAACUCUCCUCUGAAGGAAAGAAGUAAAUUGUUAUAACAAAGAACACCAGCGAAGUCUUGUCAACAUCACUUUCUGAUGGCAAAGCCCGGUAAAGUUGAAUACAUGCCUCUAUCUCUGCCUCCUGCCUCCAUCAUGAUCAGAGGCUUGUGUCCUGUCAUUUGGAUUUGCAGAACAUAUUACUGUAUCUGAUGUACACAAAUCUUCACAAACCAGAUUGCUGCUAUGAGACUGUCGAUUAAAAACAAUAAUAAACUACAUUUCCCAAGAUCCUUUGCCAACUGGCUCGCCAUGAGAUUCAGCCAACGGUAGGUACUAACGGAUGAUUUGAAGUCUGGAGAAGGGCCAUCUUAUGGGAGCAUGUUUCCUUCCCUCUCUGCCUCAGCUUGUGUCAUCUGGAGAAGAGCUCGUCUGUCCUCUAGUAUGUCCCAGGGCUUGCUCCAAUCACGUUGAAGUCCAGCUUCCACUAGCUGGCCCUUGCUCCCAGUUUCCAACAACACUGUCUGCUCUUCUGCUUCCUCCAUUUUGGGGUGCAGUAGUUUCCUGUUUGGGUCAUUGCUAAGACCCUAUUUGCUUUCUCUGGUUUUCCAUCACCAUAUGACCAAUUUUCUGCAUUAAAUUUAUUCUGUUCCAAGUAUUUAGAUUGGUUUCUUUCUUCUGACGAGACCCAGGCACAUACAGUGGUCAUUUUUGUCAUAUUCUAUGGCCACCAUAGAGAUUGUGUCAUCGCCACUUUCUUCUAAAUUUAUGAAGCAAGAACGUAUUCCAUAUGUGCACUGAUUAUUUUAAGUCUACCACUUACUGAGCAGCCACUGUGCACCAGGUAUUGUAAUGGAUGCCAUCCAGCCUAUUUCUCUUCAGCCUCACUGCAAGACACAG
rnacentral:lncRNA from 1 species